UACGUAGUGUGCUAGCGUUGUCCGGAAUCAUUGGGCGUAAAGGGCGUGUAGGCGGUCCGGUAAGUCCGCUGUGAAAGUCGGGGGCUCAACCCUCGAAUGCCGGUGGAUACUGUCGGGCUAGAGUGCGGAAGAGGCGAGUGGAAUUCCUGGUGUAGCGGUGAAAUGCGCAGAUAUCAGGAGGAACGCCUAUUGCGAAGGCAGCUCGCUGGGACGUUACUGACGCUGAGACGCGAAAGCGUGGGGAGCAAACAGG
rnacentral:rRNA from 1 species